GUAGGUGAACCUGCGGAAGGAUCAUUAACACGUUCCACGUAUCCACCCGAGAACUCGUUUUAACGAUGAUUAAGCUCCAGUUGCACCUGUAAACUCUGCGCAGCUCCGCAAAACUCCUCGAUAAGGAAACAGGCUGAGUAAGCCUGGCGGCUGCCGGUAGUCAUGUCCUCGCUCGAGAGAGCCGAGGGAGGCGCUGGAUGUCUGGUCAUGUCUUCUAUUCCUUAUCGAAUUUUUCACAACUAUUUACCCCUUUCCGAAACGUACUAAUUUACAUUUCUUUCUUGAGAAAUUGGGGCACCUCGGUGCUCCGAAACCUAAGAAAAACCAUAAGAACAACUCUUAACAACGGAUAUCUUGGCUCUC
rnacentral:misc_RNA from 1 species